rnacentral:rRNA from 1 species
UACGUAGGGUGCGAGCGUUAAUCGGAAUUACUGGGCGUAAAGCGUGCGCAGGCGGUUAUGUAAGACAGUUGUGAAAUCCCCGGGCUCAACCUGGGAAUUGCAUCUGUGACUGCAUAGCUAGAGUACGGUAGAGGGGGAUGGAAUUCCGCGUGUAGCAGUGAAAUGCGUAGAUAUGCGGAGGAACACCGAUGGCGAAGGCAAUCCCCUGGACCUGUACUGACGCUCAUGCGCGAAAGCGUGGGGAGCAAACAGG